GAGGAGGAGACCCACCCGGUGGACUUGAGCUCGCUCUCCAGUAAGCUACUCCCAGGCUUCACCACGCUGGGCUUCAAAGACGAGAGAAGAAACAAAGUCACCUUUCUCUCCAGUGCCACUACUGCGCUUUCGAUGCAGAAUAAUUCAGCAUUUGGCGACUUGAAGUCGGACGAGUUGGAGCUGCUCUACUCAGCCUACGGAGAUGAGACAGGCGUGCAGUGUGCG
rnacentral:lncRNA from 1 species